rnacentral:rRNA from 1 species
AAUAUUGGACAAGGGGGGCAACGCUGAUCCAGCCAUGCCGCGUGCGUGAAGAAGGUAUUCGGAUUGUAACGCACUUGAAGUUGGGAGGAAGGGCUUUAGGUUAAUACCCUGAAGUUUUGACGUUACCAACAGAAUAAGUACUGGCUAACUCUGCACCAGCAGCCGCGGUAAUACAGAGGGUGCAAGCGUUAAUCGGAAUUACUGGGCGUAAAGCGCGCGUAGGUGGUUCAGUAAGAUGGGUGUGAAAUCCCCGGGCUUAACCUGGGAACUGCUUUCAUAACUGCUGAGCUAGAGUACGGUAGAGGGUAGUGGAAUUUCCUGUGUAGCGGUGAAAUGCGUAGAUAUAGGAAGGAACACCAGUGGCGAAGGCGACUACCUGGACUGAUACUGACACUGAGGUGCGAAAGCGUGGGGAGCAAACAG